rnacentral:tRNA from 1 species
GCGGUGGUAGCGUAGUGGUUAAGGAGCUGGGUUAGCAAGCCAGAAAAGAUGUUGGUUCGAUUCCUGGCUUCCGCC